CUUGGUCAUUUAGAGGAAGUAAAAGUCGUAACAAGGUUUCCGUAGGUGAACCUGCGGAAGGAUCAUUAACAAAUCAUGAUAGAACCGAAAGGUUCUAUAUAUACCCCAAGCUUGGGAAGAACUCCGGUUCGGAACGGCUUUGGUUGCAGCCCUCCGGGGCUGUAGGUCGGGCUGUCGCAAGACAGCCUAGCCACAUAGACGCUUGUAUGUUUGACAGAGUUUAGUUGCUAUUAAAAGAUACAACUUUUAACAAUGGAUCUCUUGGCUCUUGCAACGAUGAAGAACGCAGUGAAAUGCGAAAAGUAAUGCGAUUUGCAUGAAUCUGUGAGUCAUCAAGUCUUUGAACGCACCUUGCACCAUAUGAGCAAUCGUAUGGUAUACCUGUUUGAGAAUCGUAAAAACCCCUCUUACCAGUUAGGUAGGGACUUGUCGUUAGGGUGUGCUUCGGUGCAUCCCUCGACUAAAAGCAGUAGGCUUGAUCAGGCUAGUGGCCUGGGACAUUGUGUGCUAGAGACGUCGCUUCGGCUGACUGUCUUCUCACGAUGCGUCCUAGGCUAUUCAAGCUAGCUUGAUUUUGGCCUCUACAGUGAGUGCUACCCUCGGGUAGUGCCUACAACCCCAUAUUUUGAUCUCAAAUCAGGUAAGGCUACCCGCUGAACUUAAGCAUAUCAAUAAGCGGAGGA
rnacentral:rRNA from 1 species